GACGAACGCUGUCGGCGUGCUUAACACAUGCAAGUCGAACGGAAAGGCCUCUUUUGGGGGGUGCUCGCGUGGCGAAAGGGUGAGUAACACGUGAGUAACCUGUCCUCUACAUUGGGGUAAAUUCAGGAGAAUGGGGCUAAUACCGGGUAGGAGCCCCUGCUGCAGGGUGGGGGGUGGAAAGUUUCGGCGGUUGGGGAUGGGCUCGCGGCUUAUCAGCUUGUUGGUGGGGUAGUGGCUUACCAAGGCGUUGACGGGUAGCCGGCCUGAGAGGGUGAACGGCCACAUUUGGGCCUGGAUUCGGGCCAGACUUCCUCGGGGGGCAGGAGUUGGGAAAUUUGCCCAAUGGGUGGAAGCCUUGUUCAAGCACGCCGUGUGGGGGGUGACGGCCUUCGGGUUGGAAACCGCCUUCGCCCAUGGCGAAGCUUUGUGUGACGGUAGUGGGUAAAGAAGCACCGGCUAACUACGUG
rnacentral:rRNA from 1 species